rnacentral:rRNA from 1 species
ACGGGUGAGUAAUACAUCGGAACGUGCCCAAUUGUGGGGGAUAGCCCGGCGAAAGCCGGAUUAAUACCGCAUAAGACCUGAGGGUGAAAGCGGGGGAUCGCAAGACCUCGCGCGAUUGGAGCGGCCGAUGUCAGAUUAGCUAGUUGGUGGGGUAAAGGCCUACCAAGGCGACGAUCUGUAGCUGGUCUGAGAGGACGACCAGCCACACUGGGACUGAGACACGGCCCAGACUCCUACGGGAGGCAGCAGUGGGGAAUUUUGGACAAUGGGCGCAAGCCUGAUCCAGCCAUGCCGCGUGCGGGAAGAAGGCCUUCGGGUUGUAAACCGCUUUUGUCAGGGAAGAAACGGUCUGAUCUAAUAAAUUGGGCUAAUGACGGUACCUGAAGAAUAAGCACCGGCUAACUACGUGCCAGCAGCCGCGGUAAUACGUAGGGUGCAAGCGUUAAUCGGAAUUACUGGGCGUAAAGCGUGCGCAGGCGGCUUUGCAAGACAGAUGUGAAAUCCCCGGGCUCAACCUGGGAACUGCAUUUGUGACUGCAAGGCUAGAGUACGGCAGAGGGGGAUGGAAUUCCGCGUGUAGCA